rnacentral:rRNA from 1 species
AGUUUGAUUAUCGCUCAGAUUGAACGCUGGCGGCAGGGCCUAACACAUGCAAGUCGAGCGGAAACGAGUUAUCUGAACCUUCGGGGAACGAUAACGCCGACGAGCGGCGGACGGGUGAGUAAUGCCUAGGAAAUUGCCCUGAUGUGGGGGAUAACCAUUGGAAACGAUGGCUAAUACCGCAUGAUGCCUACGGGCCAAAGAGGGGGACCUUCGGGCCUCUCGCGUCAGGAUAUGCCUAGGUGGGAUUAGCUAGUUGGUGAGGUAAGGGCUCACCAAGGCAACGAUCCCUAGCUGGUCUGAGAGAUGAUCAGCCACACUGAACUGAGACACGG